rnacentral:rRNA from 1 species
UACUCGAAAGAGUAGCUAAUACCGCAUGAGAUCUACGGAUGAAAGCAGGGGACCUUCGGGCCUUGUGCUACUAGAGCGGCUGAUGGCAGAUUAGGUAGUUGGUGGGGUAAAGGCUUACCAAGCCUGCGAUCUGUAGCUGGUCUGAGAGGACGACCAGCCACACUGGGACUGAGACACGGCCCAGACUCCUACGGGAGGCAGCAGUGGGGAAUUUUGGACAAUGGGCGAAAGCCUGAUCCAGCAAUGCCGCGUGCAGGAUGAAGGCCCUCGGGUUGUAAACUGCUUUUGUACGGAACGAAAAGCCUGGGGCUAAUAUCCCCGGGUCAUGACGGUACCGUAAGAAUAAGCACCGGCUAACUACGUGCCAGCAGCCGCGGUAAUACGUAGGGUGCAAGCGUUAAUCGGAAUUACUGGGCGUAAAGCGUGCGCAGGCGGUUUUGUAAGACAGUGGUGAAAUCCCCGGGCUCAACCUGGGAACUGCCAUUGUGACUGCAAGGCUAGAGUGCGGCAGAGGGGGAUGGAAUUCCGCGUGUAGCAGUGAAAUGCGUAGAUAUGUUUAAAAGGGCCAGAGAGACGGAGAUGGCGAAGGCAAUCCCCUGGGCCUGCACUGACGCUCAUGCACGAAAGCGUGGGGAGUUAAGGCCUUCAAACAGGAUUAGAUACCCUGGUAGUCC